rnacentral:rRNA from 1 species
GUGGGGAAUUUUGGACAAUGGGGGCAACCCUGAUCCAGCGACGCCGCGUGGAGGACGAAGGUCUUCGGAUUGUAAACUCCUUUUGAAGGGGAUGAAUGUCCUGGUGAAUAGCCAGGGGUGACAGUACUCUUCGAAUAAGCCACGGCUAACUACGUGCCAGCAGCCGCGGUAAUACGUAGGUGGCAAGCGUUACUCGGAAUCACUAGGCGUAAAGCGCAGGUAGGCGGAUCGGUAAGUCUUUUGUGAAAGCUCCUGGCUUAACUGGGAGAGGCCAAGGGAAACUGCCGGACUAGAGUGUGGUAGAGGGUGCUGGAAUUCCCGGUGUAGCGGUGAAAUGCGUAGAGAUCGGGAGGAAUACCUAUGGCGAAAGCAGGCACCUGGGCCAUCACUGACGCUGAGCUGCGAAAGCUAGGGGAGCAAACAGGAUUAGAAACCCUGGUAGUCC